UUAACCCAAAUUUGUAUGGAGUUGGAAUAGCUUCUCUUCGUUUGGCGCUAGGGGCGUUUUUUCAACUCCAUACAAAUUUGAGUUA
rfam:Bombyx mori DNA, contig: Bm_scaf13_contig10415, strain: p50T/Dazao, build 2, whole genome shotgun sequence.